rnacentral:rRNA from 1 species
AAUCAACGCUGGCGGCGUGCCUAACACAUGCAAGUCGCACGAGAAAGUGGAGCAAUCCAUGAGUACAGUGGCGCACGGGUGAGUAACACGUGAAUAAUCUACCUCCGAGUGGGGAAUAACCUAGAGAAAUCUGGGCUAAUACCGCAUAACACUUACGAGUCAAAGCAGCAAUGCGCUUGGAGAGGAGUUCGCGGCCGAUUAGCUAGUUGGCGGGGUAAUGGCCCACCAAGGCGAUGAUCGGUAUCCGGCCUGAGAGGGCGCACGGACACACUGGAACUGAACACGGUCCAGACUCCUACGGGAGGCAGCAGUGGGGAAUUUUGCGCAAUGGGGGAAACCCUGACGCAGCAACGCCGCGUGGAGGAUGAAAUCCCUUGGGAUGUAAACUCCUUUCGAUGGGGAAGAUAAUGACGGUACCCAUAGAAG